UUUUUGGGACCUUUUUGGGCUAAAAAAACAUAAAAUAAGUGUCAGUAUAUGUACUAUUUAAACGGUUUCCUGGCGUGGGGCAUGUAUAUUUUAUAGUUGCUGUAAAGUGUAAGGGUUGGACAUUUUUGAUGCUGUAUUCUCCCUAUUAAUUGUCUCUCAUAUAAUGAUAGCAUGGAUCCAAAGCUAUGUACUGAUAUAUUUGAUGUGGGAUUUGUCAGUAAAAAAUAGACAUGGAAAUUCUCGCCGGUUUGUUGCAAGUUAAGUUGUCAUAACCUCACAGACUUCUUG
rnacentral:lncRNA from 1 species